rnacentral:rRNA from 1 species
UACAGAGGUCCCGAGCGUUGUUCGGAUUCAUUGGGCGUAAAGGGUGCGUAGGCGGCGGGGCAAGUCUGAUGUGAAAUCCCGGGGCUCAACCCCGGAACUGCAUUGGAUACUGCCUUGCUCGAGUACUGGAGAGGGAACUGGAAUUUACGGUGUAGCAGUGAAAUGCGUAGAGAUCGUAAGGAAGGCCAGUGGCGAAGGCGAGUUUCUGGACGGUAACUGACGCUGAGGCACGAAGGCCAGGGGAGCAAACGGG